UACGAGGGGGGGCGAGCGUUGUUCGGAAUUAUUGGGCGUAAAGGGUGCGUAGGCGGUUUGGUAAGUCUUGUGUGAAAUCUACAGGCUCAACUUGUAGUCUGCACGAGAAACUGCCGGGCUUGAGUAUGGGAGAGGUGAGUGGAAUUCCUGGUGUAGCGGUGAAAUGCGUAGAUAUCAGGAGGAACACCGGUGGCGAAGGCGGGACUCUGGGCCGAUACUGACGCUGAGGAGCGAAAGCGUGGGGAGCGAACAGGAUUAGACUACC
rnacentral:rRNA from 1 species